AAAAAAUGUUGGAAUUUGAGGUAAAAUUAAUGUAACUUAAAUUUGUAAUGUUGGGUGAAUGGCAAGACAAAACACAGUGUUUCUCUUGUAGUUUUGCUAAAAAAUCCAUUGGUUUAAAACAUCAGACACUGAUAAGCUUCUGGCAGUCUGUUUUUGUUUAUGACUCAGUGUAAUUUAGUUUCCUAACUCACUGCUCUGAGUCAUGCUCUGCGAACACGUUAAGCUCCUCCCAGAAAAACCCCUCAAUUCUUUCAUUUAUGAUGAGAACAGGAAUAUGACACCCUCCGAGCUAAAGAAGAUUCUUUAAUGUUUUCCUGGAGAGGUUCCUUCACCCUGAAGUUGUGUGCAGGACCCGUGAGAAGCACAGGUGUGUCCUCCAGCCUGCCUGAAGAAAGGAAAUUUGAUCCAAUGCCACGCUUCCCAGUGAGAGAUUGAGUCCAUGCCCAGAGUGUUUGUGUGUAAAGACUCUUGCAUGUUGGAAUGUCAGGAAAACAAAAUAUGGACUGACUUUAAUUACUCCACACAUCUGGAGCACUAAAGGUUAUUGACUGGUGAGCUCAGUGCAGGUGUUGGAGGAACUCAUUAAAAAUGGAAGCUGUGAAAGUAGGCCAGCGGUUUACUGAUGUGGAUGGGUAAAGAGAAAGGAAAGCCAUUCCAAGUUGUCCACAGCCUAUCCCAUUUUCCCCUGGUCCACUUCCUGCAUGAAGAGGAUGGUGUCUGCAUUUCCCCAAUUACAACUAAUCUAGCAAAAGCUCCCAUUUUGUCACCUCUCCUGCCAGCAUCUUUGGUUUGAUGCCACAGCUCAAGCACACUCGGCCUGCCUGUAUCAGCCCAUUCCCAUUGCCGUCUAGUCUGACAUCUGGAUCUGACAGGUCUCUGAUAGGUUGUUAUGAUUCAUAUGAACCAUAUGUUGUCAUUGCUGGUCUGUCGUCUUUUUGUUCUCUUUUAACAUUUCCCAGAAAGAGUUGUUUUUUUUUUUUA